rnacentral:rRNA from 1 species
UACGAAGGGGGCUAGCGUUGCUCGGAAUUACUGGGCGUAAAGCGCACGUAGGCGGAUUUGUAAGUCAGGGGUGAAAUCCCGGGGCUCAACCUCGGAACUGCCUUUGAUACUGCAAAUCUCGAGUCCGGAAGAGGUGAGUGGAAUUCCUAGUGUAGAGGUGAAAUUCGUAGAUAUUAGGAAGAACACCAGUGGCGAAGGCGGCUCACUGGCCCGGUACUGACGCUGAGGCGCGAAAGCGUGGGGAGCAAACAGG